CAAGUAGCUCAGUUGGUAGAGCAGUGGAUUGAAAAUCCUCGUGUCGGUGGUUCGAUUCCGCCCUUGGG
rnacentral:tRNA from 1 species